GGACGAACGCUGGCGGCGUGCUUAACACAUGCAAGUCGAACGGAAAGGCCCUGCUUUUGUGGGGUGCUCGAGUGGCGAACGGGUGAGUAACACGUGAGUAACCUGCCCUUGACUUUGGGAUAACUUCAGGAAACUGGGGCUAAUACCGGAUAGGAGCUCCUGCUGCAUGGUGGGGGUUGGAAAGUUUCGGCGGUUGGGGAUGGACUCGCGGCUUAUCAGCUUGUUGGUGGGGUAGUGGCUUACCAAGGCUUUGACGGGUAGCCGGCCUGAGAGGGUGACCGGCCACAUUGGGGCUGAGAUACGGCCCAGACUCCUACGGGAGGCAGCAGUGGGGAAUAUUGCACAAUGGGCGGAAGCCUGAUGCAGCAACGCCGCGUGCGGGAUGACGGCCUUCGGGUUGUAAACCGCUUUCGCCUGUGACGAAGCGUGAGUGACGGUAAUGGGUAAAGAAGCACCGGCUAACUACGUG
rnacentral:rRNA from 1 species